rnacentral:rRNA from 1 species
AGAGUUUGAUCCUGGCUCAGGACGAACGCUGGCGGCGUGCCUAAUACAUGCAAGUAGAACGCUGAAGAGAGGAGCUUGCUCUUCUUGGAUGAGUUGCGAACGGGUGAGUAACGCGUAGGUAACCUGCCUUGUAGCGGGGGAUAACUAUUGGAAACGAUAGCUAAUACCGCAUAACAAUGGAUGACCCAUGUCAUUUAUUUGAAAGGGGCAAAUGCUCCACUACAAGAUGGACCUGCGUUGUAUUAGCUAGUAGGUGAGGUAACGGCUCACCUAGGCGACGAUACAUAGCCGACCUGAGAGGGUGAUCGGCCACACUGGGACUGAGACACGGCCCAGACUCCUACGGGAGGCAGCAGUAGGGAAUCUUCGGCAAUGGGGGCAACCCUGACCGAGCAACGCCGCGUGAGUGAAGAAGGUUUUCGGAUCGUAAAGCUCUGUUGUAAGUCAAGAACGAGUGUGAGAGUGGAAAGUUCACACUGUGACGGUAGCUUACCAGAAAGGGACGGCUAACUACGUGCCAGCAGCCGCGGUAAUACGUAGGUCCCGAGCGUUGUCCGGAUUUAUUGGGCGUAAAGCGAGCGCAGGCGGUUUGAUAAGUCUGAAGUUAAAGGCUGUGGCUCAACCAUAGUUCGCUUUGGAAACUGUCAAACUUGAGUGCAGAAGGGGAGAGUGGAAUUCCAUGUGUAGCGGUGAAAUGCGUAGAUAUAUGGAGGAACACCGGUGGCGAAAGCGGCUCUCUGGUCUGUAACUGACGCUGAGGCUCGAAAGCGUGGGGAGCGAGCAGGAUUAGAUACCCUGGUAGUCCACGCCGUAAACGAUGAGUGCUAGGUGUUGGAUCCUUUCCGGGAUUCAGUGCCGCAGCUAACGCAUUAAGCACUCCGCCUGGGGAGUACGACCGCAAGGUUGAAACUCAAAGGAAUUGACGGGGGCCCGCACAAGCGGUGGAGCAUGUGGUUUAAUUCGAAGCAACGCGAAGAACCUUACCAGGUCUUGACAUCCCGAUGCUAUUUCUAGAGAUAGAAAGUUACUUCGGUACAUCGGUGACAGGUGGUGCAUGGUUGUCGUCAGCUCGUGUCGUGAGAUGUUGGGUUAAGUCCCGCAACGAGCGCAACCCCUAUUGUUAGUUGCCAUCAUUCAGUUGGGCACUCUAGCGAGACUGCCGGUAAUAAACCGGAGGAAGGUGGGGAUGACGUCAAAUCAUCAUGCCCCUUAUGACCUGGGCUACACACGUGCUACAAUGGUUGGUACAACGAGUUGCGAGUCGGUGACGGCAAGCUAAUCUCUUAAAGCCAAUCUCAGUUCGGAUUGUAGGCUGCAACUCGCCUACAUGAAGUCGGAAUCGCUAGUAAUCGCGGAUCAGCACGCCGCGGUGAAUACGUUCCCGGGCCUUGUACACACCGCCCGUCACACCACGAGAGUUUGUAACACCCGAAGUCGGUGAGGUAACCUUUUGGAGCCAGCCGCCUAAGGUGGGAUAGAUGAUUGGGGUGAAGUCGUAACAAGGUA